rnacentral:misc_RNA from 1 species
UGUGUUGCUUACCUUCGAAAGGAAUUCGAUCGUCCCGUUGUCCCCAUCCGCUCGACGCCCUCGAUGGGUGUGGGGUGGACAUCAGGCAAGCCCCGUGUUCCUGGCACGCCUCGCCCAGUCGCGUGGACUGCUCCGGCCCAUGGGGUUACUGCCCGUUCUCUCGGAUGCGGAACGUCGAGCGUGGGUGCGGGGUCUCGGCCUCGCCCAAGCGMAGACGCAAUCGUCCCUCGACACGAACGACCGCCCCGUCCGCGUUGACCCCGUCCGUGGCCCGUCUAUCCGACCGGCCGCGGGAGGGGGCCUCAUGCGGGCGUCGGCGUCGCGAGGAACGCUACCUGGUUGAUCCUGCCAGUAGUCAU